GCUGUGGCUGAGGGGAUGGAGCGCUCCGUGUGGGAGUCACGCUCCCAGAAACAGAGAAACGCUGGAAGCAAUUCCAUGUAAAACAUUCCAAACUGUGAGUGAGGAGCUCUCGGGAUGUGCUGGAACUCUUGGAACUCUAGCCCUGCUCAGCAGCUGGACACGCUUUGUUAUCCCUCAUGAUAUCCCUGCCUGGAAAACGACGCUGCCCCAGACGAGUUUGGAAACACUGGGGUGUUUUUAAUACCCAAUUUCACUGCGCACACGGCCUGAUGCCACUUACAGGGAACAUCCCCUGGCUGGUUAAAGGCUUUGAUUCAUUAUUGUUCGUUGUUUGGCCUUUGUUGCCCAGCUCAGGCGCUCGACUUCCCCCAUAAAAACAUCCCUGACG